UACGUAGGCAGCGAGCGUUGUUCGGAGUUACUGGGCGUAAAGGGUGUGUAGGCGGUUCUUUAAGUUGGUGUGAAAUCUCCCGGCUCAACCGGGAGGGUGCGCCGAAUACUGAGGGACUAGAGUACGGGAGAGGAAACGUGGAAUUCUGUGUAGCGGUGAAAUGCGUAGAUAUCAGGAGGAACACCGGUGGUGUAGACGGCUUUCUGGACCGUAACUGACGCUGAGACACGAAGCGUGGUAGCAAACAGG
rnacentral:rRNA from 1 species